rnacentral:rRNA from 1 species
GACGAACGCUGGCGGCGUGCUUAACACAUGCAAGUCGAGCGGAAAGGCCCUGCUUUUGUGGGGUGCUCGAGUGGCGAACGGGUGAGUAACACGUGAGUAACCUGCCCUUGACUUUGGGAUAACUUCAGGAAACUGGGGCUAAUACCGGAUAGGAGCUCCUGCUGCAUGGUGGGGGUUGGAAAGUUUCGGCGGUUGGGGAUGGACUCGCGGCUUAUCAGCUUGUUGGUGAGGUAGUGGCUUACCAAGGCUUUGACGGGUAGCCGGCCUGAGAGGGUGACCGGCCACAUUGGGACUGAGAUACGGCCCAGACUCCUACGGGAGGCAGCAGUGGGGAAUAUUGCACAAUGGGCGGAAGCCUGAUGCAGCAACGCCGCGUGCGGGAUGACGGCCUUCGGGUUGUAAACCGCUUUCGCCUGUGACGAAGCGUGAGUGACGGUAAUGGGUAAAGAAGCACCGGCUAACUACGUG